rnacentral:pre_miRNA from 1 species
CGGGUGGAUCACUUGAGCCCAGGAGUUUUGAGACCAGCCUGGGCAACAAAGUGAGACCUCAU